rnacentral:misc_RNA from 1 species
GAGCCGCCUCCUACGCCCCCUACGAGGAAGCCGCCGCCGAAGCCCUCCGCCUCGCCAAGCACGACAAAGACUGGCUCAUCUCCAUCCGCCGCCAAAUCCACCAGCACCCCGAGAUCCGCUUCCAGGAGCACAACACCAGCGCCUUCAUCCGCGCCCAGCUCGACCAGCUCGGCAUCCCCUACACCUUCCCCUACGCCGGCACCGGCGUUGUCGCCCAAAUCGGGUCCGGCGCUCCCCCUGUCGUUGC